AAGAGAAUGGUGUACCUAAAAGGAGCUGCUAACUACCUUUUUAAGCGGUUAAAUCCCGUUUUUCUCUUA
rnacentral:tRNA from 1 species